GAGGAAGGCUGGCGGCGGGCCUAACACUUGCAAGUCAAGCGAUGAAUUUGCCUUCGGGAAAUGGAUUAGCGGCGGACGGGUGAGUAACACGUGGGUAACCUGCCUCAUAUAGGGGGAUAGCCUUCCGAAAGGGAGAUUAAUACCGCAUAACAUCAUUAAAUGGCAUCAUUUAGUGAUCAAAGGAUUUAUUCCCUAUGAGAUGGACCCGCUGCGCAUUAACUGGUUGGUAGGGUAAUGGAUUACCAACGCAACUAUGCGGAUCCGACCUGAGAGGGUGAUCGACACCCUUGGGACUGAGACACGGCCCACACUCCUACGGAAGGCAGCACAAUGGGAAUAUUGCACGAUGGGGGAAACCCUGAUGCAGCAACACCGCCUGAGUGAUGACGGUCUCUCGUCAUUGUAAAGCUCUGUCUUUGGGGACGAUAAUGACGGUACCGCUGAGGAAGCCACGGCUAACUAC
rnacentral:rRNA from 1 species